UAUUACAAGUAACUCUUAGUUGGCAAAAGAGUGCACAAGAGUGGCACAAAGUACUUCUACAAUAAGAAUAAGUUGAAAAGUUUGGAAAAAUAUGUGAAUUUUCGUGUCAAGUUUCGGGACGAAACUUCUUUUAAGAGGGGUAGAUUGUAAUCCCCCGUAAUUUUAUAUAUUUCAUUUAUAUAUUUUAACGUAUAUUUAAUAUAUUUAAAUAAGAAUUUAUGAAUUUUGGAAAUAAAUAUAUAGUUAACGUAUAUUUAUUUAUUACAUUUUAAUAUUUUCAACGAUUUACGAAAUCGAAAAUGAUUUUAGAAUUUUAAGUUGAAAAGAAUUUGAAUUACGAAAAUUGAUUGAAUUUAGAAAACGAUCCUAUUCAGUUUUGGACUCGAAUCAUUAAAGCUAAAUCCUAAGUCUAGCCCACUUGAAAAGCCCAACAUUAAAACCCAAACUCAAACCCUCCCCUUCUUUCUUCUAAUUCACGUGAAAGCUAGGAAGAGAAAAACAAAACCCUCCUUCACUAUUCACGUAAGUUUUCAAACCCUCAAGAACUCAUCCUCUCUCUCUCCUCGUCGCUGCUCUCCUCCUUCACGCCGUUGCUCCAGCCGCCGGUCUCCUCGCCGUCGCCACCAAGGCCGCCGGACCGCGUCGCUGUCCUCGCCGCACCACCCGCGACAGCAACCACCGCUGCCGCCACGUCAACAACCCAGCCGGCCGCCGCUGACCGCGUCGUGCACCGCCCAGCUUUUCCUCUCCUCUUUCUUGGCGGAGAAUUCUCUUUAGGCGACUUUUGAAAGUGUUAAAGUG